AUUGAACGCUGGCGGCAGGCUUAACACAUGCAAGUCGAGCGGAGCGAGGGUGCUUGCACCUUAGCUUAGCGGCGGACGGGUGAGUAAUGCUUAGGAAUCUGCCUAUUAGUGGGGGACAACAUUCCGAAAGGGAUGCUAAUACCGCAUACGCCCUACGGGGGAAAGCAGGGGAUCUUCGGACCUUGCGCUAAUAGAUGAGCCUAAGUCGGAUUAGCUAGUUGGUGGGGUAAAGGCCUACCAAGGCGACGAUCUGUAGCGGGUCUGAGAGGAUGAUCCGCCACACUGGGACUGAGACACGGCCCAGACUCCUACGGGAGGCAGCAGUGGGGAAUAUUGACAAUGGGCGGAAGCCUGAUCCAGCCAUGCCGCGUGUGUGAAGAAGGCCUUUUGGUUGCAAAGCACUUUAAGCGAGGAGGAGGCUACUAGUAUUAACACUACUGGAUAGUGGACGUUACUCGCAGAAUAAGCACCGGCUAACUCUGUGCCAGCCGCCGCCGUAA
rnacentral:rRNA from 1 species